AGAAACUAGAGCCUGUCAUCAGAAUUGCCAAACACACACCUGGUCCAGGAGUCAGAGACGCUUAGCAAGGAUCUAUGGAAGGUGUAGCAGUUGGAGGCUCCACUGCUGCUUCACAAUAAUGAGGUGAGCUAGCAGUUGUUAUGACAACUACAGUGAACACUGGGAUUUCAUGUUGUUAUGGAAAGAAGAGUGCUCUCCCUCCAAGCCCUAAGCCCACCUCUUCAAACCAAGAAAGAAACAACCCGAUGAAUGUAAAAAGAACAUGAGACUAUCAUUUGUGUGUCAUCAUCAGAAACCUCUCCUAUAUUCAUGAAGCUGAGGAGUUUUAGCUGAAAACGAUAGAGGUGGAAGAGAAGGAAGGGGACACAGAUGAGCCACUAUUCACAUUGUGGCUGUUCAUCCUGGGAAAACUAAUUCUUCCCUGUAAGGAGAAGAGAAAAGGUGCCAGAUUAAUUAAGAAUUUAGUAGUUCAAAUGAGGACUAUCAAAUGUGAGCAUUCAGAUUAAAUAAUCUUUUGUAAAAUAAAUUUGCUGUAGAAUAAGGGGAAGAAUUUGAGGGUGGGGGAGCUAAUUUUAGUCAGAUUCAAAAGGAUCCUAUAUUAAUUUUUUUUAAAGUGCAGACUUCUACAAAAAAGUAGUAAUCGGGAAACAAUAAAUAGGUCUUGAAAAUAAAAAGAAGAGUGACUAUGAGAUAUUCUUCCAGAAAUGUAGUGCAUAAACUCCAAGAGUUGGGAAUUCGAGAGAAAAGUCAAGAGGCAGAAAAGAUUGAGGCAGGAGAAGGAAUAUUGUUAUUAUAGGAGUUCCAGAAGGAUAAAAUACUAUACAUGAAUGAAAAGCAAUAAUCAAAGAAAGAAAAGAAGACAAUUUCUCUGAGGUGAAGGAUUCAGUCUUUACAUGGAGAAGGCUUACCCAAAACUGGGCAGGUAUAAUGAAAAGAAAUCAUACUCAGAUGGUUUUCUAUGUCCUAGAUAAAGAACAAGUGUUGGAAGCAGCCAACUGGAAAAAAAAAAGGUUGCUAAAAAGAAAAAAGUUUGAAUGACAUUAGACUUAUUAUUUGCAACACUAAUGCUAGAAAACCUCAGAGAAAAUGUACAGACUCUGAAGAAAAAGCAUUAUAUUCCAAGAAUUAUAUACCAAACCAAGCUAUUAUCUAAAUACAAGGGCAAAUGAAAGCCUGGUUCAGAUUUGUAAAAAUUCAGAAAUUAUAUGACUCAUGUACGCUUUUUGAAAAAUAUAACCUAAAGUAGACCUUCAAGAAAAAACUAAUCAGGUGGCUGACCCAGUGGCUUAGCAGUUAAGUUUGCAUACUCUGCUUUGGGGGCCCAGAGUUUGUAGAUUUGGAUCCUGGGUGUGGACCGACGCCCCGCUUGUUAAGCCAUGCUGUGGCGGCAUCCCAUAUAAAGUAGAGGAAGAUGGGCACGGAUGUUAGCCCAGGGCCAAUCUUCCUCAGCAAAAAGAGGAGGAUUUGCAUUGGAUGUUAGCUCACGGCUAACCUUCCUCACAAAAAAAAAAAAAAAAAAAAAGAAAAAUCUAAUCAAAAUAAGGAAUUUAAUAAAGAUAAAGACAUGUUUUAGAAAAAAGAGCAGUGAGCAACAAAAAUUUAGAUUUAAGUCUAAAGAAUUGUUUGCAUGUGGUUGUGAAACUAAGUACAAUUUAUAAUAAAGAGUUUUAAAAAGAAAAUUGUCUAUCAUAAAAAAAUCUCCCUAGAGAUGUAGGAUGAAGAGAGAGGUGGAAAAGAGGAAGUAAAAUGUGAUAAAGUUUUUAUGUCAAACGAGGAGGGUCCAUAUUUGUAACUGCAUUCUUAACAUUG